UACGUAGGGUGCGAGCGUUGUCCGGAAUUACUGGGCGUAAAGCGCGCGCAGGCGGUCUUCCAAGUCAGUGGUGAAAGCCCGGAGCUCAACUCCGGAACUGCCAUUGAAACUGUGAGACUUGAGGAUGAGAGAGGUGAGUGGAAUUCCCAGUGUAGAGGUGAAAUUCGUAGAUAUUGGGAAGAACACCGGUGGCGAAGGCGGCUCACUGGCUCAGUAUCUGACGCUCAGGCGCGACAGCGUGGGGAUCAAACAGG
rnacentral:rRNA from 1 species